rnacentral:lncRNA from 1 species
CCCUGCUGUAGCAUUUUAAUCAGGGCUGGAAGCUAUUGUUGGAAACACCAUCCUCCAGGGCCCCAGGACAGGUGCAGAGUGGGGCAUCGGGACCUUUUCAGCCAGGCAGGCGAGGUCCCCAGGGUUCCAGAGUCAUAGAGAGCACUCAACCCACAAACACCCUCCCUCUGUCUGGUGGCAGGGAAGCAGGGAUGGAGAGGGGAAUGGCACCACCCUGGGCUUCCCUCCACGGAGCUGGCUAGCGGUUUUUUUCCAGCUGGGGCAUGGCUGGGGCUGGCUCUGCUGGGUACGCCAUCAAUUUUCCUUCUCGCACCAGGAGGAUUCUCUUUCCUGCCCCCCCCACCAUCACCCAGCGUCCUCCCCACUCCCCUGUGCCCGCUGGUGCUGAGGGGCAAACCGAAUCUGUUCGGGUGUCUGUGGAACAGGCUGUCAUAGAAGUUACUUGGACAACACCACCCACCCCUGGGGAGUGGGGUGAUGGGAACUUGCUUGGUGAUGACAACAAACAAACAAACACCUUCCCUUUCCCACUUCUCUCCCGGUAUUCCAGGCAGGAGGUAAGUGGGCAGUUCCUGGACAUCAUGGAAGGAAUGAGGCAGUAAGUUUCGUGCUGUACCCACUUGCCCCUCAAACUGCAAUGCUCUGGAAUGGAGAGGAGCAGCAGAGAGGCAGGGGUGUGCCAGGCCACCUCUCUAGGAGUUCAUGUUCCC